rnacentral:rRNA from 1 species
GGCAAACUGGUGAGUAACAGGUGAGUAAUUUACCUUUAUAUCGGGGAUAGCCUUGCGAAAGCGAGGGUAAUACCUGAUGUGUCCCCUACCACAAAAGUGGUGGGGGGUAAAGGCAUCCGCAAGGAUGCUGUAUAGAGAUGAACUCGUUUCCUAUCAGCUAGUUGGUAGGGUAAUGGCCUACCAAGGCAUUGACGGGUAGCUGGUCUGAGAGGACGGUCAGCCACAUGGGGACUGAGACACUGCCCCGACUCCUACGGGAGGCUGCAGUCGAGGAUAUUUAGCAAUGGGCGAAAGCCUGACUAUGCGACGCCGCGUGAGGGAUGAAGGUCUUCGGAUUGUAAACCUCUUUCGAUGGGGAAGAAUUCAGACGGUACCUAGAGAAGAAGCCACGGCUAACUCCGUGCCAGCAGCCGCGGUAAUACGGAGGUGGCAAGCGUUACUCGGAUUUACUGGGUGUAAAGGGCAGGUAGGCGUCUCGAUAAGUUCUUGGUGAAAUCCUUCUGCUUAACAGAAGAACUGCCGAGAAAACUAUCGAGAUUGAGACUAGAAGAGGAGAGUGGAAUUCCCGGUGUAAGGGUGAAAUCUGUAGAUAUCGGGAGGAACACCAGAAGCGAAGGCGGCUCUCUGGGCUAGGCCUGACGCUGAACUGCGAAAGCUAGGGGAGCAAAC